rnacentral:misc_RNA from 1 species
GGAAACGCAGUACCACCAAGAAAAAGGCGGCCGCCUCAAACACUCUGGACAGCAAGUUCACUGAGCCGCUGCGCACACGCACCUUCUCAACUCCUUCGCGCCAGCCAGCCGACCAUCGCACAUCUCCUUUCCUUUCGUUUUUGUGUCUUAAACCCCUGCAUCUUCUCCUGUUGGUCCUUGUAAAGCAACGCCUGUGUGUACUAUCUUGUAGUGCUUUAUCUCGCUCAGCUCGUAUUACAAAAUUCAUUUGCACCCGUGAACGAGCCUUGUGGCGAAAUGUCCGUGCCGGUAACGGAGAGCAUCGGGAAGGCUCGGUGGGCGCAGGGCGAGGAUGAUGAGACGGGCCUCGAAGUCCGCAUUCCCUGUGCCCUCCCCGACGGCGUGCGACCGCGCGAGCUGACGGUGCAGAUCAAGGACGGCUCCAUCUUGUGCAUCAGUCACAAAGAGACGCGGAUUCUGCAGUGGCGCCUGUACGCCGCCGUGAGCGAUGAGGUGGAGUGGCGCAUCGAGGACGACAACGUCCUCGUGGCGGAGUUGGAAAAGAAGUCCGGUGCGCCGUGGAGCUGUCUCCUCGAUCUGCCGAUGCGCGCUGACGACGAGCUGUUGACGCCGAUAGCUGAGAUCGACCGUAUGUUCCGCACUCAGCUCCCCGUUCUUCCCUCCAUCGAGGAUAGUGAAAGUGAGGAUGCAGCGAAGCAGGCGUCUGGCCAAGGGGAGGCAGACAAGAACGGCAAGGCUGGCGACGCGGGGGCGGGCGGAGAGGACGACCUUGAUAAGCUGCUGGACGAGGUGGCGAAGGAGGUCACGGGCAAGGAGCCGAAGGAAAGCGACGGUGAGGACGAUAGCACCGCUGCUUUUAUAAAGGCUGAGCUUGAGAACUACCGCGUCGAAGAGGAGGAGAUCAAGAAGAAGCUGGCCGAGGUUGAGGCCACGCUGAACAGCUCAACAGACGCCGAUGCCACCAACACGGCGAGCGAGCAGAAGAACAUCCUGAACAAGAUGGUUCAGCUCCACAGCCAGUGCCGUGCAAUUCGGUCGCAGCCGAGCACACUGGAGAACUUUCUGAAGUGCACGCAGCUCGACCUUCAGAAGGCACGCGUCAACAUUGGUGAGACAGGUGAGAACGAGGAGGAGGAGUACCAGUCGGACAAGGAGCGCGAGCUGAACGCGACGGAGCUCAUGACAUGCGGUCUAAAGUUUUUCGAGGACCAGGACAUCAAGGGCUGCCUGCACUUCCUGCGCCUCGCUGCCAUUCAUCACAAGCACGAGCAGAGCACGCUGCUGUUGUACAAUAUUUAUAGCCAGCUGCAGUCUCCUCGCGGCGCCUUCCUGUUGAUGAAGCGCGCACUCGACGAUAGCGCGCCGAGCGCUGCCGUGAACCAGAAGGUCGGUGAGUUGUACGACCAGGGAGCGCGUCACUUCCUGCCCCUCUUUCCGGCGGCCAUCUAUUUCUACCAGCGCGCAGCCAAGCUUGGCCACGUUAAUGGCAUGCUGAGCCUGGCGCAGCUGUGGCUUCGCGGCGCUACUGCGUCAUCGAUGCUCUCCGAGGAGGAGGUCGAGGCGCAGCAAAGCAUCCCGAAGUACCACGCGUGGUUGCAGAAGGCAAUGGAUCGUGGCUGCGGCUCUGCGUACUUUGUGCGCGGCUGCAUGCACAUCAAGGGUGAGCACGGCAUGGCCAAGUCGUACGCAGCGGCGAAGGAGUACCUCGACGCCGCGGCAAGCGCGCAACCGGAGAUCCUCCGCCGUGCUCCGCAGAUUCCCAUGAUGCUGGAGGCGCUGCGCGAGGAGGAGGAGAAGUCCGCAAAGCCGACGCAGGAGACGACAAGCACACCGGCGUCGACCACAAAGACCGCCGCAGCUCCUGCUGGUCUCGCUGCUCCAGGAGCCGCGGCCAAGCCUUCCGACGAGGGCGUCAAGGUAACUUCGUCGGUGGCUCGGUUGAAUGCUCUUAGCAACAAAGCUGCCGGCUCCUCUGGCAGCAACGGCUUCAUGGCCCCCCGGCCUGUGAGCGAAAGCGCCGCCAUGCGCGCAAGAAAGGGCCUCGGCAGCGGCUCUCGCAGCAAAGCCUUCUGGGAGCGUGCCUGCGUUGCGAGUGUCACCAUGUACAGCGUGUACACGCUGGCCUUCCCCAUCCGCAUUAUCCUUCUCCCCUUUUUCUACUCGGCCAUUAGUGGUAUCAUUGAGUCCAUUCCGUGGCUGGCGAACGGCAACGCAGAUCUCAGCAUGUUUUAGUGCACAGCGGAGUGCGUGCGUGCUUGCUUGCAACGGAGACGGGCAUAGGCUGGAACGGUCGUGAAAAAGAAGGCCAAGAAACGAGACGAACAGGGGCCUCCCUCACCCGAUGUGCUCGAUGCCCAGCAUUCUGCUUUCUCGCCGCCCCCUCCUCUGUACACCACCACCGCGAUGGCGGUAGAGGAGUUGUGACGUCUCCCACGGCAGCUGCACCCCCUCGGUCUCUGGCUCGCUAUCAAGAACAUUCAUCACAGAAUCCGAAAAAAAAAAAGGCAUCCUCGGCGACGUCUGUGUUUGUGUGAGUCAAGGGCUUUUACGCUUAUUUUAGGUGUGCUUUAUUUUUGUUUGUGGUACAUGGGGGCGGGCCUCCGUCCCUCUUCAGCUCAUGCUGGACGCUUCGCCUGCUUCUCUUUGGAUUCUGUAUUUGGUGCGUCUUCUUUGUGCUGCUUUCUCGGUCACAGAGUCUGAGCUCGUGUGCCGCAUAGGGUCAUGUGCUUAGUGUAAUCGGCUACCUAGCAGAGCGACGCCAGCAAGACUGAUUGGAAAAGAGGGGCCAAAUGAGGGGAGAGCCACCUGAGAAGGCAGCUGUCUUCAGUCGCCUGGGGGCGAUGCUCGAAGACGUCCGCGGAGGGUGUUGCUUCAUUUUUGGCUGCGCAUUGGCAGACGCUUAUGUGUUUUGGUUUUGUGUGUGCGAUGGUGCUGCACUGGGCGCUGUGCCGUGCGCACGGCGCAGCAGAACGGAAGGAAGGCACUGAUUGGUGUUCACACUACUGUUCGAGUUCUGCGCACUUAUGUGUGUGUGCGUGCGUCCAAGCGACCCACUCUGGGUUUUGUGGGUGGAGAACGACGGAACGGAGGAGGACAUGUGAAAGGGCGUUGGCGAGGGGGUGGCCUCAUAGGCACAUGCACUCUGACAAUGUAGCGCCGAAGACAACACUUAUGCAUAGCUUCCUUACCUCUUUCCUUUGCCCCCCCCCCCCCCCGUUUUUGUUCCUCCGUUCUUCGUUGUCUAUUUUCGGUCUCUGUAACGUUAAAAGUAACGACUGUGUGUGUGUGUGUCUGGGACUGCAGUCAAAACGGGCAAGCAAGCGAAACAGUAAACACCAGCAGCUGAAGGGGUCGAAUCACGAGAGUGCGUCAAGGGAAAGCGGAGCAAGCGACGGAAGCCACCUCAUCCAUCGUGGCACUCCGCUGGCUAAAGCACGUCUCCUGCCUCAGAC